rnacentral:rRNA from 1 species
AGAGUUUGAUCCUGGCUCAGAACGAACGCUGGCGGCAUGCCUAACACAUGCAAGUCGAACGAGAUCUUCGGAUCUAGUGGCGCACGGGUGCGUAACGCGUGGGAAUCUGCCCUUUGCUUCGGAAUAACAGUUAGAAAUGACUGCUAAUACCGGAUGAUGUCGUAAGACCAAAGAUUUAUCGGCAAAGGAUGAGCCCGCGU